rnacentral:lncRNA from 1 species
UCCUGGGGAGGGGACCCAGGGACUGGAGACCUGGGGGGGUGGGGGGGCAAUGGGGGGUCCCAUCCCACCACAGGUCACCCACCCGCAGGGCCCUGGCGAGAGUGAGUACUCGGAGCCCUUUGAGGGGGAGCAGGACCCAGCGCCCGAGGGUGGCUGUGAGGACCCCAGCGAGGCCACAGGUGGGUGACACCCUGGGCACCCCCCCCCAGCACCCAACCCCGUGGGGGUCCCGGGUCCUCCCACCCCUCCUGGCCCCGCUGCCUGUCCCAGCCCUGCCUGUCCCCAGGGUGCCCGCGGCAGGGCGAGGGUCGGCGGGCGAGGCCGCGGCGGGGACCCCAACUCUAUGACACCCCCUACGAGGAGUGGGAAACAGCUGGGGAGGGCCCAGGGGUGCCCCCCACCCGGGAAAGCCGCCUGCCCCGUGACGACGAGCGCCCGGCCGAUGAGUACGACCAGCCCUGGGAGUGGAAGAAGGAUCACAUCUCCCGGGCGUUCGCAGUGCAGUUUGAGAGCCCUGAGCGCUCCCCCAGCCUCUCCCGGCAGCUGCCGCGGCCCCCCCGGACCCCCACAAGCACCCGACCGAGCUGUCCCCCCAGCCCCCGGCACGUGGACACCUCGCUGCCCCUGGAGAAGCAGGCGUGAGUUUGUUGGGGGUCACUCCUCUGUGGGGUGGCAUCAACAUCCCGGUCACACAUCAUGACGUGGAGGCAGCCCUCUGGGGUGGAGGGUCCCCUAUGGCAUGGAUGGGUGCUCAUGACAUAGAGGGUCCUGAUGGGGUGGAGGAUCCUGAUGGGGUAGAGGUUGCCCAAUGGCAUGGAUGGGUCCUUUUGAUGUAGUUGGGUGCCCCAUGGCAUGGAUGGGUCCCCAUGGCAUAGAGAGUCCUCAUGGGGUGGAGGGUUCUGAUGGGGUGGAUGGUGCCCAAUGGCAUGGGUGGGUCCCUUUGAUGUGGUUGGGUGCCCCAUGGCAGGGAUGGGUCCCAAUGGCCCAGAAGGUCCUUAUGGUAUAGAUGGUCCCUUUGGCGUGGGUGGAUGCCCCGUGCUAUAGUUGGCCUCCAUGAUGUAGAAGAUGCC